UUGGCAGAAUUACACACCAGGGCCAGGGAUCAGAUAUCCACUGACCUUUGGAUGGUGCUUCAAGCUAGUA
rnacentral:pre_miRNA from 1 species